rnacentral:rRNA from 1 species
UGGGGAAUCUUGCACAAUGGGGGCAACCCUGAUGCAGCGACGCCGCGUGAGCGAUGAAGCCCUUCGGGGCGUAAAGCUCUUUCGACCGGAACGAUAAUGACGGUACCGGGAGAAGAAGCUGCGGCUAACUACGUGCCAGCAGCCGCGGUAAUACGUAGGCAGCAAGCGUUGUUCGGAGUUACUGGGCGUAAAGAGUGCGUAGGCGGUUUUCUAAGUUCGGUGUGAAAUCUCCCGGCUUAACUGGGAGGGUGCGCCGAAGACUGGGAAGCUGGAUUGUGGGAAAGGCAGGCGGAAUUCCUGGUGUAGCAGUGAAAUGCGUAGAUAUCAGGAGGAACACCGGCGGUGUAGACGGCUUGCUAGGCCAUAACUGACGCUGAGGCACGAAAGCGUGGG